rnacentral:rRNA from 1 species
UACGGAGGAGGCAAGAGUUAUCCGGUGUUAUGGGGCGUAAAGCGUCCGUAGGUGGUUGGCCAAGUCUGCUGUCAAAGGGUGGGGCUUAACCUCAUAAAGGCAGUGGAAACUGGCGAGCUAGAGUGCGGUAGGGGUAGGGGGAAUACCCAGUGUAGCGGUGAAAUGCGUAGAGAUUGGGAAGAACAUCGGUGGCGAAAGCGCCCUGCUGGGCCUGCACUGACACUGAGGGACGAGAGCUAGUGGAGCGAAAGGG